GACGAACGCUGGCGGCGUGCUUAACACAUGCAAGUCGAGCGGUAAGGCCCUUUCGGGGGUACACGAGCGGCGAACGGGUGAGUAACACGUGGGUGACCUGCCCUCAGCUCUGGGAUAAGCCCGGGAAACUGGGUCUAAUACUGGAUAUGACUCCACGGUGCAUGCCGUGGGGUGGAAAGCCUUGUGCGGCUGAGGAUGGGCCCGCGGCCUAUCAGCUUGUUGGUGGGGUGAUGGCCUACCAAGGCGACGACGGGUAGCCGGCCUGAGAGGGCGACCGGCCACACUGGGACUGAGACACGGCCCAGACUCCUACGGGAGGCAGCAGUGGGGAAUCUUGCGCAACGGGCGAAAGCCUGACGCAGCGACGCCGCGUGAGGGAUGACGGCCU
rnacentral:rRNA from 1 species